AACGAACGCUGGCGGCGCGCCUAAUACAUGCAAGUCGAGCGAGAAGACGUAGCAAUACGUUUGUAAAGCGGCGAACGGGUGAGGAAUACAUGGGUAACCUACCCUCGAGUGGGGAAUAACUAGCCGAAAGGUUAGCUAAUACCGCGUACGCUCCUUGGACUUCGGUUCAGGGAGGAAAGCGAUACCGUGGGUAUCGCGCUCUUGGAUGGGCUCAUGUCCUAUCAGCUUGUUGGGAGGUAACGGCUCACCAAGGCUUCGACGGGUAGCUGGUCUGAGAGGAGAUCAGCCACACUGGCACUGCGACACGGGCCAGACUCCUACGGGAGGCAGCAGUAAGGAUAUUGCGCAA
rnacentral:rRNA from 1 species